CUAGGCUGUGUGGGCCGUGGUGUUCGGGAAUACCGGUGCGGCGCGUCCCUUUUCCGGGAGCGCGCCAAGGCCGGAGCGGCCCUCGCCACUGUGAUCGGGAGAUCCCGCCGUUCUUUCCCCGGCCGGUGCCGGGCGGGGAGACCACUGGGCGCAGGCGCCUGGGAAGGUCGAACGGCGGGCUGGACCGUCAGCCAGGAGACCGGCCACGGCGUUCGACCACCG
rnacentral:ncRNA from 2 species